GACGAACGCUGGCGGCGUGCUUAACACAUGCAAGUCGAACGGUAAGGCCCUUCGGGGUACACGAGUGGCGAACGGGUGAGUAACACGUGGGUGAUCUGCCCUGCACUUCGGGAUAAGCCUGGGAAACUGGGUCUAAUACCGGAUAGGACUCCGGACUGCAUGGUCUGGGGUGGAAAGCUUUUGCGGUGUGGGAUGGGCCCGCGGCCUAUCAGCUUGUUGGUGGGGUGAUGGCCUACCAAGGCGACGACGGGUAGCCGGCCGGAGAGGGUGACCGGACACACUGGGACUGAGAUACGGCCCAGACGCCUACGGGAGGCAGCAGUGGGGAAUAUUGCACAAUGGGCGCAAGCCUGAUGCAGCGACGCCGCGUGAGGGAUGACGGCCUUCGGGUUGUAAACCUCUUUCAGCAUCGACGAAGCGAAAGUGACGGUAGGUGCAGAAGAAGGACCGGCCAACUACGUGCCAGCAGCCGCGGUAA
rnacentral:rRNA from 1 species